AUGAUGUCGGAGAGGAGAGGGGAGUGGGAGGACUACCGGACGCCGCACGGGCUGCUGAUGGCGGUGGUGAUGGGGGCGGUGGUGGCGGGGCCGCUGUUCGUCCUGGACGGCGGCGAGGCGCUGCGCGAGGCCCUGUCGGAGCUGCUCGGGCCCGUGGGGCUCCCGCUGCUGCCCCUUGGCCUCGUCGUCCUCAUCCGCGUCCUCUCCUCCGGCUAUCGGCUCGUCGACGUCCUCGGCUUCGCCCUGGGAGAGUCGCUCGACGCCGCCUACCGCUCCGGGCGGGGGUCGCCGGUGGGGGUCGUGCUCGCGCUGCUGUUCUUCCUGCUCGCGGUGUACUACAGGUCGUGGUCGCCGUUCGGCGGCGACGACGAGUAG
rnacentral:rRNA from 1 species